UAUCAAACACCCCUCACCCUUGCUCUAAAUUCUAAAAUAACGCAAACGGUACCAGCAAGCAGCAAGCCUCUCUCCAUUUUCUUCGCCGGCGGCAGGUGCACACAUCGGGGAAUGGCGACCUACGACCAUGCCGCCACCCCGACACCGCAGUCUCCGGGCGUCGGCGGCGUACCCUUCUCGUCCUGCAUCGGCGACCUCCUCCGCUUCGUCCUCUCCUCCCACGCCGCCGCCUACCCCGGUGACGACACGGUCGCUUUCCCCCUCUCGCCCUCCUACUGCGCCCGCCUCCUCAACGACGGCGAACUGUUCGAGAAGCUGGAGGCCUGUAUUCAGCAGUGCCUCGAGGAGGGGCGGCUCCCGGGGCCGCCCGCGGUGGUUGGGAUUCCGGCUGAGGAGGAGGGGCCGGAGGAGAGAGGGUGGAAGCUGCUGCUGCCGGAGAAAGGCGCUGAGUUGAAGCGGAUGUACGAUGCUGUUGAGUUUGAGCUGCAUGUUCAGGAACCCUACUUCACUCAACUCAGAGCCGGAGUCAAGAAGGUUGAAGGGAGAUUAGCGACUGGUAACUACAACCGGAUUACACAAGGUUCUUUGCUGCUAUUCAAUAAAUGCCUCUUGCUUAACGUUGAGGCAGUUAGGAAGUACAAUUCAUUCUCUGAGAUGCUGAAAGGAGAGAAAAUCUCAAAUGUUCUUCCUGGUAUUUCAUCAAUUGUAGAAGGUGUGAAAGUAUAUAGGAAAUUCUAUGCAGAGGAAAAGGAGAACUCUUAUGGAGUUUUAGCGAUAUCAGUUUCAAAGCCAACAUCUCAACCUUACAUAACCAUGAAUAAUAUCCUUGCUGGAUUGGGGUAUGAUGGACUGGGUAGACUCCUUGGUAUGGCGAAAACAACUGGAACUGUUCCAGAUGGACUACCUCCUCCAAGAUCUGCACUGCUGUCAUCUUGUAUGGGACUGGUUCAACCAAAUGUGAAAGGCUGUUCUUUAACUGAUGGUGCGAGGGCAUUGGCCAAACAUGUUCACAGGAGUAGGAAAGGAUGGUGGGGCAGCUUUAAUGGGAGUGGUAAAGAUAAAGUCCACCUUGAUACGCCGGAGUCCAGAGUUCGAGACUUCUGUCGUGAUCUAUUUCAUUGUUGUGUUGCUUGUCUUCAGAUUCAAGCAAGAACCAAGCUGCAUCUGAAACCAUUGAGUCUUUGCUGCGUGUGUGUUGUUGGAUGAAUGUUCAUCUGACUCAACCCUAUGGUCCUGUUUUUGAAAUCCGCGUGCAUGAAGGUUAUGGUGCCAGAUGGUCUCAAGAUGGUUCAAAGUUCAUUGGAUUCUUGGAGCCCUACACCCCAGAAGGCUAUGCUAAGGGAUGGAAACACUAGCACCAGCUGCCUAGUAGAUCUUGAUCUGUAUUAGCGACUCUAUCAGGGUUCAUCUGCAUAUCUUCUGAAGGCCUACAUGUUCUGUUGAAUCGAAAGAGACGAUCAUGUGUUACGUCAGCUGCCUGCCUAAGAUCAUGUGUUGCAUGACCACUGUUUUAUUUCUGAAUAUGUUCUUUUUUUUUGCAAGGCGUAUAUCGACACCAAGUACUGAUAUAUGCGUCUGAAUAUGUUCUACUUUUAUUCAAACACACCCGCCAAGAUCAGUUCAUAGUUUUGCACAAAGACAUGCAAAUGCAAUUGGACACAACCCAAAUAGAAAGGUAUUUUUUGUUUCAA